UACAGAGGGUGCAAGCGUUAAUCGGAAUUACUGGGCGUAAAGGGCGCGUAGGCGGUUAUUUAAGUUAGAUGUGAAAUACCCGGGCUUAACCUGGGAGUGGCAUUUAAUACUGAGUAGCUAGAGUAGAGUAGAGGGAAGUGGAAUUUCCGGUGUAGCGGUGAAAUGCGUAGAUAUCGGAAAGAACACCAGUGGCGAAGGCGGCUUCCUGGACUCAUACUGACGCUGAGGCGCGAAAGCGUGGGGAGCAAAC
rnacentral:rRNA from 1 species